rnacentral:rRNA from 1 species
AGGAUUAGAUACCCUGGUAGUCCACGCCGUAAACGAUGAACACUAGGUGUCGGGGUUUAAAGACUUCGGUGCCGCAGUUAACGCAUUAAGUGUUCCGCCUGGGGAGUACGCACGCAAGUGUGAAACUCAAAGGAAUUGACGGGGACCCGCACAAGCAGCGGAGCAUGUGGUUUAAUUCGAAGCAACGCGAAGAACCUUACCAGGGCUUGACAUCCCUCUGACCGACCCCUAACCGGGUCUUCCCUUCGGGGCAGAGGAGACAGGUGGUGCAUGGUUGUCGUCAGCUCGUGUCGUGAGAUGUUGGGUUAAGUCCCGCAACGAGCGCAACCCUUGUCAUUAGUUGCCAUCAUUCAGUUGGGCACUCUAAUGAGACUGCCGGGGAUAACUCGGAGGAAGGUGGGGAUGGCGUCAAAUCAUCAUGCCCCUUAUGUCCUGGGCUACACACGUGCUACAAUGGUCGGUACAACGAGACGCAAUACUGUGAAGUGGAGCAAAUCUUCAAAACCGACCCCAGUUCGGAUUGUAGGCUGAAACUCGCCUACAUGAAGUCG